rnacentral:tRNA from 2 species
GUUUAAAUAGUUUAAGAAAAACAUUGGUCUUGUAAACCAAAAAUAGUAUAAAUAACUUUAAAACA